GCUCUGAGCCAUCAGCCCAGAGCCCGACGCGGGGCUCGAACUCCCGGACCGCGAGAUCCUGACCUGGCUGAAGUCGGAUGCUUAACCAACUGCGCCACCCAGGCGCCCCAGAAUGUGUGUGGUUUUAAGGCACCAAGUUUUGGUGGUAUGUUACAGGGGCCCAGGACACCGUGCCCUGCCCCCAGGCUGAUCCUUAGGGAUGAGCCUGCACCAGCCUCCCCUUGCUGCUGUGACAGAGCAGCACAUCUUCCCUGGAAGCUUCUGGAGACUGGACUGACAGAGUACGUUCAUUCAACAGAGGGUGCGGUGGGGUCCCCCUGCUCUGGACUUCUCCUCCAGGACUCCCUCCAAAAUGCCUGUUCUGGCCUUGGCCUGGCCAGGUGGCUGGAACUCACAGCUGUUCCCAGAGCCGCGCAGAGAACAGUCAGGAAGAUCUGCUCACACAAAGAGAGGAAAUGGGCUGGACGGCGGAGAAAGGGCCGAGGGGCGAGCAGAUGCAGGGUGUCUGCCGGGACCCCGGGCUCGUGGCCACCUCCUGUGCCGUGAUGGACCAGGGACCUUGCUGUGGGGUCCCAGCCAGCCCUGUACCCAUCCCCCACUGAGGUCAGGAUUGGGGGUCCGGUGCCCAGUGAGAGGGAAAAUCAGCAAGCUGGUAAGUCCCGGGUGGAGGUCCCGGGGUGGGGGACACAGGGUGGCCACCUGACUAUAUCGCCACUUUCCAGCAAAGUGCUGGAGAGUGCCAAGUGUCACCAGUGUGAAAUCCAGGUCAACCCGGCAUCUGACUGAAGCUCAGACAGGCCUGGGGCUGGGCGGCAAGGUGGCGGGGACCAGCCCCCCCCGGGGACAGACAGAGCUGUCUCCAGGCUGUCGUCCCUGGUGGCCUUCCUGCGGACGGCAUCCCCAUCUAGGGACGGGAGGCCCACAGCAGGGAGGGGCAGAGCCGAGCAGCUGGUUUUGUUUUUCAUCCACUGUCUUUGGAAAGAAGGGCAGAUGGCUCCAGAAAUAUCUAGGAACGCACCCCCCUCCCUGGGUGGUGACCGGCAGUGCCAUCGGAAGGUCAGCAGAGUGUAGUGUAAACAGUGGCUUCAAAACAGCAGACCUGCACAAAACUCUGCUGUGGCUGGGGACAGCAGAGGUGACAACAGCCCCAACGUCUGACAAUUGCACGUGACGUGUCCACCGUGCACGCGCACGCCCCUCAGGUGCCUCCACCGCGCACGCGCACGUCCCUCGGCCGCGAGCAGGCGCGAGAGUCGCCCACUUCCGCCGCCCCGAGGACGGACCCCGGACCCAAGACGCUCAGGGAGGGAACCACACACGAGAGGCCACACGGGGUGUGAGUCCACGUGUGUGAAACGUGCAGAGCAGACCCAUCCACGGACGGGGAGGGGACUCGUGGGGGCCCGGGGCCGGGGGAGGGGGUGCCGGCGGGUGGUGAUGAGGUUUCUGUUAGGUGAGAAUGUUCGGGAGCUGGAUAGAGGUGAUGAUUGCACAACUUUGCAAAUGUGCCAAAUGCCACCGAACUGUUGACCUCGACUGGGUGACUUGUAUGGCAUGUCAGUGACACCUCAGUAGAGAUGUUUGACCACGACAGAAGCCAGCGCGGUGGCGGUUUGUGAUGGCGCGUGGUGACCGGGGACGAGGGGUUGACAGCACUGGGCGGGCGCGAAGGGCCGCCUGCUGCCCUGCUAACCCGGAUGGGACGCACAGCAGAUGACCACAAGUGCCGGCCAGCGCUUGGCACGUUUCCUGGCCGCGGCGGGUCACCGCAGGCAAAGAUCUGCGUGAACGCGGAAGAGGCCAGCGGGCGCGUGAGAGGCUGCCACGUUGCAGAUCGAGAGCUGAGCACCGGACCACGCUUUUGAACACGAUUGGCAACAGGAGACCAGGCAUUCGAGAAAACGCCUCGCUCACAAGAAACGUCGGAUCGUGUGCGCACAGACAUGGCUGGGAGGGUGUGACGUCGGCUGCGGUCUCCGCGCUCCCCAGCGACGCGGCAGACACCGGCACCCCGGGUCAGGAACGUCCCCUACAGCCUUUGUAUCUGGCGGUGGUUUCGCCCCAGGGGACCUUGUCCAGGCAGGGGCCACGUCUGCACAUCUGUGGUCUUCGCACUGGGGGCUCCUGGCAUCGAGGGGGUGGGGCCAGAAAUGCUGCUUGACCCCACACUGCCCAGGACGCCCUCCAGAGAACGAUCCAGCCUUGAACGUCGUUGGGGGUGGGGGUGGGGGAGGGGAAGGCAGACCCCGGUCUAGAGAGACUCUCCCCAGGUGGGUGCAGGAGGAAACAUCUAGAAUGUUCCAGCAGUACUGUCUCUUGGGAUGAACGGCUGCAACUACCUCGUCUGGCCCAGUCUCUCACUUGCUGGCUCUGAUGAAGCAUGAGGCCGUGUUGAAGUGGCCCAUGGGGCAGGGAGCCGAGGGUGGCCUCUGACCCACAGCCAGCAAGAGACUGCAGCCCUCAGUCCUGUAACUGCCGGGAGCCGAAUUCUGCCGACAACCACGGGACCUCAAGCAGGUGCAUUCCCAGGAGGCACCAUGCUCAUUGUGGAGCCCGACACGCGGCUUGACCCUCACGAACCGUGAGAUCAUGACCUGAGCUGAGAUCAAGAGUCGGAUGCUUAACUGACUGAGCCACGCAGGCGCCCCUCAAGUUUUAAAACCAUAUGAAGAAAAGAGAAAGGAAAAUGCAGUGUGCAGAGGUGCUGAGUGCUGGAAAUGACAGAGGGACGCGUGUGGCCGGGGUAAAUGGAGAGAUACGCGGGACCGCAGGGAUCGACCUAUGUUCCAGAAUGAACCUGGAACCACAUUAUUAUGCAAAUUAACCAUUUUCACCAGAAUCACAGAAGCAAGUUUUCUGGAACUGAAAGGAAUUUUAAAGUCCAUCGGCAAUCUAUACUUAGAAUAGUCCAGAAAAUAUUAAAAAACAACAACGAGGAAUUUA